rnacentral:hammerhead_ribozyme from 1 species
AACUAGCUGACGAGUCCCAAAUAGGACGAAAUGCGUAUCCCGGU